rnacentral:rRNA from 1 species
AACGAACGCUGGCGGCAUGCCUAACACAUGCAAGUCGAACGAGACCUUCGGGUCUAGUGGCGCACGGGUGCGUAACGCGUGGGAAUCUGCCCUUAGGUUCGGAAUAACUUCGGGAAACUGAAGCUAAUACCGGAUGAUGACGUAAGUCCAAAGAUUUAUCGCCUAAGGAUGAGCCCGCGUUGGAUUAGCUAGUUGGUGAGGUAAAGGCUCACCAAGGCGACGAUCCAUAGCUGGUCUGAGAGGAUGAUCAGCCACACUGGGACUGAGACACGGCCCAGACUCCUACGGGAGGCAGCAGUGGGGAAUAUUGGACAAUGGGCGAAAGCCUGAUCCAGCAAUGCCGCGUGAGUGAUGAAGGCCUUAGGGUUGUAAAGCACUUUCAGUGGGAGGAGGUUACUUAGGUUAAGAGCUAGAGUAAUGGA